CCACAAAACUUCUUGAAGUCUUGUUAUAUAUGAUGGUUGCCAAAACCCACCUUCUCGGCUUUCUUUACAUGUUAGAUAGCAUUGGUAGGAUUGAUUCUUGGUUUUGACCAUACCUAGUUAUAUCAUUCAACACCUGAGCUAAGAGCUGGGAACCCUAAGGAAUGAAAUCAUUAGAGAAAGACUAUGGUUUCAUUUUUUUGAGGUGCGUUAAAUGUAAAUGUAUUUGAAAACGAGUCAAUUUUCCCAGUGAUGAAAGUUUUAGCAAUCUGGAACGGUGAGAAAAUGGGACUCCCUCUUUGGAAAUUUUCCCAUGGUGGUUAAGGAACCAUUGUUGUAGAUUCUUGGCAACUUCUGAGGGUUUCUGUACCGCAUGUUGAAAUAAAAGUUGGCUCUUUUUACUGUUUGUUGUGAUCCUGAGACAUUGAAGUCGUUCGAAUUCAUUUUUCUAUUUAUUAUUUGUUAUAGGUACUUUUGUUACUGUUAUUAUUACAGUUGGUAGAUUCUGAUCAGGUUGUGAGACGAUCACGGUAAAAAAUACAAGCGACAACCGAUGAUCUAGAAAGCUGUAUGCUCACGAUGCCAUCAACAUGACAACAUAUGGCGGGACUGAUAUUUAUUGGAGCGUGGGAAGCAGUUGGUUUAGCUGGUAAUAAUCCAGUUCAAUGUUACAUACAUCUCUUUUCGCUUGCAUAUAACCUGUAAAUUAUAGGUCGCAUACUCGCAGACAGAACAUAAACUUUGUUGUUUUCAUUACUAAUCCGGUUCGUUAAUAAAGAUAAUUGUUUUGUUUGAAA